rnacentral:sRNA from 1 species
CCUGGCACUCACGUGCCAGGCUACGUGAUGUCGUCGCUUCGCGACU